AACGAACGCUGGCGGCAUGCCUAACACAUGCAAGUCGAACGAGACCUUCGGGUCUAGUGGCGCACGGGUGCGUAACGCGUGGGAACCUGCCCUUAGGUUCGGAAUAACUCCCCGAAGGGGGUGCUAAUACCGGAUAAUGUCUUCGGACCAAGGAUUUAUCGCCUUGGGAUGGGCCCGCGUUGGAUUAGGUAGUUGGUAGGGUAAAAGCCGACCAAGGCGACGAUCCAUAGCUGGUCUGAGAGGAUGAUCAGCCACACUGGGACUGAGACACGGCCCAGACUCCUAGGGGAGGCAGGAGAGGGGAAUAUUGGACAAUGGGCGAAAGCCUGAUCCAGCAAUGCCGCGUGAGUGAUGAAGGCGUUAGGGUUGUAAAGCUCUUUUACCCGGGAGGAUAAUGACAGUACCGGGAGAAUAAGCUCCGGCUAACUCCGU
rnacentral:rRNA from 1 species